UACGGGGGGGGCAAGCGUUGUUCGGAAUUACUGGGCGUAAAGGGUUCGUAGGUGGCCAACUAAGUCAGACGUGAAAUCCCUCAGCUUAACUGGGGAACUGCGUCUGAUACUGGUUGGCUUGAGUGCAGGAGAGGAACGCGGAAUUCCAGGUGUAGCGGUGAAAUGCGUAGAUAUCUGGAGGAACACCGGUGGCGAAGGCGGGUCUCUGGGCAGUAACUGACGCUGAGGAGCGAAAGCGUGGGGAGCGAACAGG
rnacentral:rRNA from 1 species